UACGAAGGGGGCUAGCGUUGUUCGGAAUUACUGGGCGUAAAGCGUGCGCAGGCGGCUUCUCAAGUCAGGGGUGAAAGCCCAGAGCUCAACUCUGGAAUUGCCUUUGAGACUGAGUGGCUUGAGUACGAGAGAGGUGAGUGGAAUUCCCAGUGUAGAGGUGAAAUUCGUAGAUAUUGGGAAGAACACCGGUGGCGAAGGCGGCUCACUGGCCCCGAUACUGACGCUGAGGCACGGAAAGCGUGGGGAGCGAACCAGG
rnacentral:rRNA from 1 species